rnacentral:rRNA from 1 species
GACGAACCGUGCGAACGUUGUUCGGAUUCACUGGGCUUAAAGGGCGCGUAGGCGGGUCAGCAAGUCCGGGGUGAAAGCUUUCGGCUUAACCGGAAAAGUGCCUUGGAUACUGCUGGUCUAGAGGGAGGUAGGAGCAGGUGGAACUUCCGGUGGAGCGGUGAAAUGCGUUGAUAUCGGAAGGAACGCCGGUGGCGAAAGCGACCUGCUGGACCUCUUCUGACGCUGAUGCGCGAAAGCUAGGGGAGCAAACGGG